UACGUAGGGUGCAAGCGUUUGUCCGGAAUUAUUGGGCGUAAAGAGCUUGUAGGCGGUUUGUCGCGUCUGCUGUGAAAUUUCGGGGCUCAACCCCGAACUUGCAGUGGGUACGGGCAGACUAGAGUGUGGUAGGGGAGACUGGAAUUCCUGGUGUAGCGGUGAAAUGCGCAGAUAUCAGGAGGAACACCGAUGGCGAAGGCAGGGUCUCUGGGCCACUACUGACGCUGAGAAGCGAAAGCUGGGGAGCGAACAGGAUUAGAUAC
rnacentral:rRNA from 1 species